UCCCAGGUGGCUUAGUGGUAAAGAAUCUGCCUGCCCAUUCAGGAAACCCAGGUUCGAUCCCUGAGCUGGGAA
rnacentral:tRNA from 1 species